rnacentral:rRNA from 1 species
UACGGAGGAUCCAAGCGUUAUCCGGAUUUAUUGGGUUUAAAGGGUGCGUAGGCGGUCUGUCGCGUCGGCUGUGAAAACCCGGAGCUCAACUCCGGGCCUGCAGUCGAUACGGGCAGACUGGAGUUCGGCAGGGGAGACUGGAAUUCCUGGUGUAGCGGUGAAAUGCGCAGAUAUCAGGAGGAACACCGGUGGCGAAGGCGGGUCUCUGGGCCGAUACUGACGCUGAGGAGCGAAAGCGUGGGGAGCGAACAGG